rnacentral:rRNA from 1 species
UACGGAGGGUGCAAGCGUUACCCGGAAUCACUGGGCGUAAAGGGCGUGUAGGCGGGAUGUUAAGUCUGACUUUAAAGACCAUGGCUCAACCAUGGGAGUGGGCUGGAUACUGGCAUUCUAGACAACUGGAGAGGCGAUUGGAAUUACUGGUGUAGCGGUGGAAUGCGUAGAUACCAGUAGGAACGUCAAUGGCGAAGGCAGGUCGCUGGACAGUUUUGUGACGCUGAGGCGCGAAAGUGUGGGGAGCAAACCGG